UUUAGGUUCAAAUGAAAUUUGUCAUAAAAUCAAAAACAAAACUACAUAACAAGAGCUAGAUAACCUACAAACACCCAAUCGGGCGCCAGGGCGAGUGAAAGGGCAAGUGUGAGGCGCCCUCGGCACAAAAAUACACAUUUUUAUAAUGG
ensembl:ncRNA T27F7.9 ncRNA